AGUAAUACAUAAGUAACCUGCCCUAGACAGGGGGAUAACUAUUGGAAACGAUAGCUAAGACCGCAUAGGUACGGACACUGCAUGGUGACCGUAUUAAAAGUGCCUCAAAGCACUGGUAGAGGAUGGACUUAUGGCGCAUUAGCUGGUUGGCGGGGUAACGGCCCACCAAGGCGACGAUGCGUAGCCGACCUGAGAGGGUGACCGGCCACACUGGGAUUGAGACACGGCCCAG
rnacentral:rRNA from 1 species